CGGAGCUUGCCGGCGCCGAUCACGAUCGCGUCGUCUCUGCUGUCCGAUCAGCUGUUGAUGUUCGUGGACCUGGCGAUUUGUUGACUCUAACUGCUGCAGCUGCAACAGGUACAUUGAUUGUUUGACUUCAAUUCUCAAUCCUUGAUUGUUUCGCUCUAUUGAAUUUGACUAGUCCAUUGUAGUUUUGAGUUGAUCAUUCGAUUAUGAUUCUCGGUUUUUCGAUAAUGUAGCAUUGAGAGGAGAAGCAGCUUUGAGGGUAAGACUACCAAAGGAAGCUAAGAACAGUGCAGCUAUAAGCCCCUGUGAGAGAGUUUUACCAGAGACUCAUAGUUGCUCUUCUGAGCUCGAUCGCACUAGCACGACCGAUGAACUCAUAUCUGCAAAAGGAGUUGAAGAAUCAACUGGAGAGCUAAUGCAGUGCACACGAAACGGUAAUGUUUCAGUAAGAGCUUCUUUACUAAUUGUUGUGAAUGAUGAUGAUAUUAUAAUUCAAGAAUCAAUUGGAAACAAAAAAAUUUCACUUACCACGAGAUUGAUGAAUUGACUCAUGGACUUUCCAGGUGUUCUGCGGUGGAAGCAUGUAAAAGUGUACAUCAACAAAAAAUCUCAGGUUAAACAUCGAAUACUCAUUGAAGCUAACAAAGUUAUAUGCUGGUUGAAUUCUAGAGUUGAAUUUUGCUCGGUUUCUCUUUUGCAGGU
rnacentral:lncRNA from 1 species